ensembl:snRNA U6 U6 spliceosomal RNA
GUGCUUGCUUUGGCAGCAUAUAUACUAAAAUUGGAAUGAUACUGAGAAGAUUAGCAUGGCCCCUGCUCAAGAAUGACACUCACAUUUGUGAAGCAUUUCAUAUUUUU